CUCCGGACACCGGGCGGGGUGGGCGCGGGGCAGGGGCCACACUGAGCGGCUCAGCCCGCCACGUCUGCACGCUCUGGGCUCCUGGUCCCAGGGACAGCCUGGCCCCGCCACCCACCGUCAGACCCCGCUAGCGACCGCGGUUCCCACCGCCGCGCCCUGGGGCCCGAGGCUCGGCCCGCGUGAGCCCACAGCGCCCCCUGGCGGGAGGGUCCGACGCCGCCGCUGAACCCCGGCCCUCCUGCGGUCGGACAGGACCCGGACCCUUCCGGGCGCCCCAGCCGUCCCCACAACCCCACAAAGAGGGUCCUGAGGUCUCCUUUGCACAGGGAAGUUAACUGAGGCUCAGAAAAGCCAGGCGACUUGACCAAGCCCAACAGCAGAGGUGGGUUGGGGGAGCCGGGGGCUGGAGAGGAGACCCAGGGUGCAGUCAGAGGAGGGGUGGGGUGAGCUAGGGAGCUGGUCAGCCUCCAACAGCCCCCAACUCCUCCUACGGCCCCUGGCCCCUGUCUGGCCGGCUCCUUCUGGAAGACACUAGCUGUGGGCUUAGCCCUGGAUCCACACCCACCCGAGGACAGGACAGCACCACGUGUGAGCCUCUUCCACCAAGCCCACACCAUCUCCCGGGCCCAAGGGCAGGGUAACUACCCCGGUGCAGCCUGUCCCUCCCAAAUUGUCCCUUGAUGCUAAAUUUUUGCUUUAAUGGCAAUGUGUUUGUUAUGAACUAUUUGUGUUCCUCCAAAAUUCGUAUUUUGAAAUCCCACCCGCCAAGCUGAUGGUAUCAGGAGAAGGGGGCCUUUGGGAGAUGACAGGUCAUGGCGGUGGAGUCCUCCUGAAUGGGAUGAGUGCCUUUAGGAAACAGACGCUCUCGAGCUCUCAAACCCAUGUCAUGAUAUAGUGAGAAGACGGCCCUCUACGGCCUGGGAGCGGGUCUCUCCCAGAACCUGACUGUGCCUGCACCUCAUCUCUGAUCUCCAGCCUCCAGAACCGUGAGAAAUAAACGUCUGUUGUUUCUAUUGCCAUUGGAUCUAUGGUACUUUGCUACAGCAGUCCAGGAUAAGACAGUGUCUGUCAUUCAAACCUAUAUAAAACCCUACAGAACUUACCCAUCCGCCCAUACCCUAGAGACAAGCCCUUGGCCUGGAGUGUGCCGGUGCCCACCCUCCAAAGCUGCUCUGUUUUGCAGGUCAGCCUGGGCUGCACUGGGCCAAACAGGAACCAGGAGGCAGAUGUCCAUGGCAAGAGUGUGCCCAGCCCCAGAGGAGGCUGUCUGCUCAUCCUUCACCAAAACUCCCCUCAGAUCUGCUCUAGGAAGGGGAAAUGAGUAGAAGCAGGGGUUCUUCUGAGAUGAAAUAGGGGGAAGAAAACCCUGCAGCCUGGGUGGGAGCAGCCUCCUCCCACUGGAUCCUCAGGAAACCUCUCUUUCCAAGGGGCAGGGGAGAGGGUUCCAGCCUCCUGGAGGACCCUUCACUGAGGACAGAGCCCAGCCUGUUGAGCAGCACAGGACAAGUGCAAGAACUCAGCCUAAACCCCAUAGCCUCCUCCCACUCACGUGCUAAUCCCAGAAAAGUCACCCCAAAAGCAAAUCCCCAGGUGGCAGAAGCCAGAAACACCUGUUAUGAAGAGUACCCAGACAGUGAGCAGGUGUUUAUUAGGGUCCUUUUUCAUUACCCCAGAGACAGACCCAGGGCUGGCUGCGUGCACAGGAAGUAACGCUUGCCACAUGCAUAAAUACGUGAAGAUGCACAUUACGUCAGCACAGAGUCACAAAACACUUAGCCUUGGCAAGAAAACACUGUAGCUAGGCAGCUCCCAUUCUCAGAGACUCCUGCCACAGAUGUCACGGAGACAGCAUGGGCCUCCCCAGGGACAGUCCCCAUGGCCUAGACUCCCCAGAGCUGGAGGAGCAGCCCAGGCUCUGUGGUGAGAUGGCCAUCACUUACUGUUCUUGGCAGGAGCCUAAGGUUACCUGGCCAAAGUCUUGAUGGAAAAAAUGAGUUUUUUCAAUGUUCCAGGUCUUUUAAUAGUUCGUCUGUAGGAAGUGCAUUUGCAAAGUCACCAACCUGCAGCUUCCAUCUCUAGACCAGGAACGGUGAUUCUCUGGUUGACCACAGCAGGACAUCCCCUGAGGUACACAGACCCCCUCCCACCCCCACAGUGUUCUCGCAGCCACCACAGCGCUUGCAGUUUGGCUCAAGCAAGCCCUGGCAAGCCCCACCCCUCAUGCUGGCUCUGCUGUGAAGCUAUCCUCUCGUCGGGCAGCAAGUUCAGGCCCUACGCAGAGCCAUCCUGAGGCUUGUAAAUGAAGCAGGCGUCAUCAGAGCAGGACUCCGCUGUGGUCACCGGCUUCUCCUUCCACACAGCUUCCCCUGCAACACAGCUUCCCCAAAACACUGCACGGCCACUGACCUCCGGCUUCAAGCAAAGGAGAGGCUGUGAGGGGAGCCCUGGGAGGAUGUGGAGACCCCCAGAGAAUCUUCUCCCACCCUGCUCCAAACAACAGUCAAGACCAGGAAAAUGAGGCCUCUACUUUGUGAACAACAGAGCCGCCCAUGUGGUCACACGGCGUCUUCCUCCUGAGACACCCACCACACACCGAGAAGCAGAGCUCGGUUGACGGUCCACAGCAUGACAGUUCAUUGCACUACUGGAGGGAAUGGGCCAGGGCCUCCCGUUGGUCUCCUGAAGGGAAAUGGGGGUUGGACCCAGAGCCAAGCUGCAGUCAGGGAUGAGGCCUGCACCGUGCAGCACACAGGAAACCUUCAGAGGUGCGGCUGGCAGCUCAGGGUCUGCAGCCAAGGACGGCCAGCCCACCUGGACACUCUCCUGGGGUGGCCCUGGCUGCACAGGUGGAGUCAGAACAGGCAAGUCCUCCUGGUGGCAGCUCCAAGCUCAGGGCAAGUCCCACCCCAAAGAAAAGCUGCCUGUUGGACUUCCCGGGCAGCGCCAAGCCUGUCCAGCUGCCCUGAGGAGACGUCCCAGGGCUGAAGGCAGCUGGAGCCCUGCCAUGCAAACAGCACACAGCACGUAGGGUGCAUAGGAUGACACAGCCGCUGCUCCUCCUCUGGGUGUGCGCCCACCCAGGGUUCUGCCAACACAGCAGCAGAGAGGCCAAGAGUCAUGUGAAGCACGGGCAGCGAGGGGCACGGGCUCCAGUCACGGCCAUCCAGCAGCACGGCAGCUGCUUCCAGGGCAGAGGCACAGCAGAACUUGCGGAAGCAGGCCUUGAAGUUCUCAUCCAGGAAGGCAUAGAGGAUGGGGUUGAGGCAGCUGUUGACGUAGCCCAGGGCUGUGCAGAAGCGUAGGAUGGCCACGGCAGUCUCGCUGCCUG